ACUUUAUGAGUAUAUCUGUACGCUUGUUUUCCAAACAAGAAAUUAGGACACCCUAAUAAAGUA
rnacentral:tRNA from 1 species